rnacentral:lncRNA from 7 species
AAGAAAUCUUGUGAUUUGAAAGUCCAUCUGAGCUUAGGUAAUAAAGGGAAAGUGUAAUUGAAGCAUCUGGCCAAGUCAGGAUUCCCAGUGAAGAGGCUGAUUGCUCUUUGUAAAGCAGGAGCAAGGAAGAAGCAGCAGGCCAUUGUAAAGGAAGGGAAUUGCAGUGGAGUUGUGGUACUGACCUUGAGGGCAGUGUGUGCAAUAUUCCAAGAGGAUGGGAUGACAGAAAUUCCUGGUAAAAAUCAGAGUGGCCAGGCAGAGAUGGAAAGUUUAGAACAAGCACCUCAAACUCUUCAGCUUUAGAAAUGGAGAACAUUUCCAAUGAAGAUAUUAAUCAAUCUUGAAAAAAAGAAACUCUGCAAAUAGCUUAAAUUUUAACAAUGCAUUUUAAGCCUUUUUAGCUAAGUAUGUCAAACCUGUCUGUUAUACUACACUGUAUUAUGCAUCAACGUGUCUUCUCUUUUGACAUUGAAAUUACUGCUGAAGUGUUAGGAAUUCUCUUGAGACUGAAAUUUGGCUUUCUAUGUAACUUUAAAUGGAUCUGCAUCUCUUCCCAUACUGGUUUGAUUUCUUAAUUUUUAAUGCAAUUACUCUUGAUUUAUACCACUAAAUGAGAAGGUGUUUUCAUACCAAAAAACAUGAACCAUCUGGGUUUUCUUAAUUGCUUGAAUGAGUUGUUCACAUAUGCCUACUUUGUAUGUGAUGGAGUUAUUCUAUUUAAUACCCAGAUUUCUAUUCUAGAGAAGAAGUAGUGCAUAUUCACAGGGCUAGAACCAGCUGAAGUGAUUUAUCAGUGUACUGCUGUGCAGUAUUUCAUGGAUCUUCUCUCUGCUAAUACACCGUGCUUUUCAUUGACAUCUUUAAAGGCUGUUGUUAUGUUUGUACCUUCAUUUCCUUUAUUUCUGAAGUGCCAUGAGUAACUAUCCCUGCACUCUCAAUGUUAUGGAUAGUUCAGUUUCACUUGGGUGCUUAAACUACACUUUAGAAUUUAGUGUGGAAACAGAUGCAAGGGAUUCUGCCACAGAGAGGACAGUGUGGCUAGAAGAAACCUCUCAACAGUUUUCUGUUUCAGAGUCCAAUAUGUUCAUGUUAAUCCAGCAUGUCUUGGAAACGAGAGAUUACAAAGAGGAGAUGUUUUAAGAGAACAAUUGGUAACUUUGUAUAUAUUUCAACGAAUAUUUUACAAAUAUUUGAAUUUGCUCUGUUUGGAAGAUAAGUAAACCAAAGUUCUUUAAG